AAUUCUGACUUGAAUCCUAUAUUGAAACAUUUAUUAUUGUGAUAUGCAAAUUCGAUUGGUGGGCAGAGGGCAUGGUUUGUUGUGGACAAAGACAUCACUACUGGAGAAGUGUUUGUGGGUCCGACCACCAAUCACCCGGCUCUAUUCAGAGACGAGGUACGAACAGAUUGUUUCCAUUGGAUAACAGAGGACCCUCCCACUGAGCUGAUCCAGACUAAGAUGGAGUGUCUCUUCCGCUUCAUCCACUAGAUGCCUCUCAGUGAGUCACAUGACACGUUAGGGGCAGACACAGUUUGUAAGGAAGUGUCAUUUAAUAAUACCUUUACCUCCCAUACGACUUAAACAGAUUUAAUGGGUUAAAAAAUGUACACUUCGAAAGUGUUAGUGACAUGUUAAUAAAGUGUUGGUAACUUGUUAAUAACACAGCUCCUUGCACUGUGACCUUGAACAUGAAUGGCUCUGUGUGGAUCAUGCUGUCUCAGUCAAUCAGAGCACUCACACCAGGACAGUUUGCAGUGCUGUACAAGGGGGACGAGUGUCUGGGCAGUGGGAAGAUCGUCCGUCUGGGCCUCACAGAGCACACACUCCAACAGGGACGAGACCUCAUGAAGGAAGCCCCUGUGGCCAAGGAGAGGACUCCGGAACCAGCCAGCUGAGCCUGAGAAAGACUUCCUAGGCCCACUAUCAAUAUGGACCUAACCUUACCUUCCAGACUUCAGUCACACUGCUGCUGGACAAGACUACUGUACUCUCACAGGCCUUAUCCCAUUCUCUGAACCACUACUGUAGAACAGAAGAGAACACUGAUCAUGCUUUUGGGUCUGUCCACUCAUCAAAAAAACACACACUCAAAAACUUCCUCUGUACUGAUACUUCUUCCUAUAAUGGUACUUGUGAUGUACAGUAUUAUUUGAUAGUGUGGACUGUGUAAAAUCAUACACAUGGUAAUUCAUUGUCUUAUUUAUUUAUUUGGACGGAUUAUUAGAAAAUGUAAAAUUUCAUAUUUAAAAAAUUAUGGCUUUUGUUAAAAUCCAAACAAACAGUGCCUUUUCCUUUUGGUGUCAUUUCACCUAAACACAUUUAGCAUGGAACUGCAUUCUUUUGAACUACUGUGCAAAAUAUCCGAUAUGUAAAUAGAGAAUAACUUUGAUUAAGUGAUUAAACUUACGAUUGUUUUAAAUAAGUGAUUUCUGUGGCCAGCAGAAAACCUCACUGAAGAAAUCCAGUUAAUGUAUGUGAGUCACUUUACAUCUGUUUCCCGUCCUAUUCCACUCUCUCCAAAAGGGGGCGAACACGCAUAAGUUAUACUGAGUCUUCUAAACUUUUUCAGAUGCACUGUUUCUGGUGUUUAAAAUAACAGUAUUGAUGUUAUACCAAGUGGAAUGUAUAGGUUACUGCCUAAAUAAUGGAAACACUGGAGUAAAUGAUGGAUACAAAGUAUAUUGAAAGCAGGUGCUGCCGCACAGGUGUGGUUCCGGAGUUCAUUAAGCAUUUAACAUCACAUUAUGCUUAGGGUGUAUAAAAUGCUGGGCAGUCCAUUAUUUGGACUGCCAUGGCCAUAGGAUGUCAAUGCCCCCGUCCACAGGGCACGAGUAAUCACAAUGGUUUGAUGAGCAUGAAAAUGAUGUAAACUAUAAGCCAUGGCUGUCACCAGAUCUGAACCCUUAUGGGAGAUUCUGGAGUGGUGCCUGAGACAGCGUUUUCCACCACCAUCAACAAAACACCAAUUUAUGGAAUUUCUUGUGGAAGAAUGGUGUCACAUCCCUCCGAUAGAGUUCCAGACACUUGUAGAAUCCAUGCCAAGGUGCAAUGAAGCAGUUCUGACUCGUGGUGACCCAACGCCCUAUUAAGACACUUUAUGUUGGGGUUUUCUUUAUUUUGGUAGUUACCUGUACCUGUUCAAUGAUUUUGCAGAGUAUGCAUUAUUUCAUUUAGUUCCAUUGCAUACCUUCAUUUUCAAUGGUGAUGUGAUUUCCAUGGGAAUAAAACCUACAAUUUGCCAUAAGUUGAAUGAAAGCGCCAUACAUUACAAACAGGUGCAAGGGCCACUUUUUCAUUAAAUCAGGCUACAUUAAGAUGGAUACCAACAUAGAUGGUAGGAUGGAAGGAAGCAAUGGAUUAUAAUC